rnacentral:rRNA from 1 species
CGCCUCUUGAUUAACCAUAAGAGGUCCAGCCUGCCCGGUGACAAAGUUUAACGGCCGCGGUACCCUAACCGUGCGAAGGUAGCAUAAUCACUUGUUCUUUAAAUAGGGACUAGUAUCAACGGCAUCACGAGGGUUACACUGUCUCCUUUCCCCAAUCAGUGAAACUGAUCUCCCCGUGAAGAAGCGGGAAUAGAAAUAUAAGACGAGAAGACCCCAUGGAGCUUUAAGCUCAACAACACCUCUUUAUAAUAAACCCCUCAUAAUAUAAGAGCCCUGAUUGUUAGCUUUAGGUUGGGGUGACCGCGGAGUAUAAUAAAACCUCCACGAUGAACGGGAUUAAACCCCUAAUCCAAGAGCCACUGCUCUAAGAAUCAUAAAAUUGACAUAAUCUGAUCCGAUUUUCGAUCAACGAACCAAGUUACCCUGGGGAUAACAGCGCAAUCCAUUUCAAGAGCCCCUAUCGACAAAUGGGUUUACGACCUCGAUGUUGGAUCAGGGUAUCCUAGUGGUGCAGCCGCUACUAAUGGUUCGUUUGUUCAACGAUUAAAACCCU